AACGAACGCUGGCGGCAGGCUUAACACAUGCAAGUCGAGCGCCCCGCAAGGGGAGCGGCAGACGGGUGAGUAACGCGUGGGAAUCUACCGAGCCCUGCGGAAUAGCUCCGGGAAACUGGAAUUAAUACCGCAUACGCCCUACGGGGGAAAGAUUUAUCGGGGUUUGAUGAGCCCGCGUUGGAUUAGCUAGUUGGUGGGGUAAAGGCCUACCAAGGCGACGAUCCAUAGCUGGUCUGAGAGGAUGAUCAGCCACAUUGGGACUGAGACACGGCCCAAACUCCUACAGGAGGCAGCAGUGGGGAAUAUUGGACAAUGGGCGCAAGCCUGAUCCAGCCAUGCCGCGUGAGUGAUGAAGGCCCUAGGGUUGUAAAGCUCUUUCAACGGUGAAGAUAAUGACGGUAACCGUAGAAGAAGCCCCGGCUAACUUCGUGCCAGCCGCCGCAGUAAUAC
rnacentral:rRNA from 1 species